AGCGUUGUUCGGAAUUACUGGGCGUAAAGCGUGCGCAGGCGGCCAUCCAAGUCAGUGGUGAAAGCCCGGAGCUCAACUCCGGAAUUGCCAUUGAAACUGUUCGGCUCGAGUACGAGAGAGGUGAGUGGAAUUCCCAGUGUAGAGGUGAAAUUCGUAGAUAUUGGGAAGAACACCGGUGGCGAAGGCGGCUCACUGGCUCGUUACUGACGCUCAGGCACGACAGCGUGGGGAUCAAACAGG
rnacentral:rRNA from 1 species